UCUCUUCCCCACGAAGCAACCUCUACCCCUCUCCUCGUUUCUCUCCUCCGCCUCUUCCUCCAGGGGCGGCUGCAGAGGGAUGGGAGUCAAGGGGGCAAGCAGGAUGGGUGGCCAGCUGAUUUCUUCGCCGGAUCUCCCAGCUAGGGUUGCCGUCGCGGCCGUGCCUUCCCGUCUUUGUGUUCCAGCCGGCCUCCAUGGUGGUUGCAGGGGAGAGGGAGAAAGGGGAUGACAUCGAGGAGCUCCGCCCACUUCUUCGUGCGCGGCGGCUGAUGCAGCAACGCCUCCAUCUCCACGAUUGCAGCAUCGGUGCUCCACAGUGCGGUCACCGUCUUCCUCGGCAGGAGCAGCGCACCCGUUGUUGCCGUCAAGCGCUGCUUCGCCUCUACCGUCCCUAACUCAGCCAUCGCCGGAGGCCUGCACUUCCCUAGCCCUCUUCUUCCUGGAAGGUUCAUACCACUGAAUGUGGAAAGUAUAUGUUGGAACCAUCAAAGGUCAAAACUGAAGCAGAAGAAUGUGAUACCUAUGAGGAAACCGGUGAGGAGCCUGUAGCUAUGAUAGAAGAAUCUCCACCUGAUAUUGGACAAGAUGGAAGGUGCGGCGCUGUUCCUCUCCACGGCCCCAUCGGUAAGGCGGCGACAAGAGCGAGCAGGGGGCGGCGCCGCGAGCUCUCGUCCCGAGGAAGCCGCAUGAGGACAAGGUCGAUGUGGUCGUCCGUGCCUCCUCCAUCGCAGGCGGCCAUGAUUGAGGGGAAGGAGGUAUCGUCAGCUACGUGCCCAAGCUCGCCACGGACGUCGGCGAGGACAACCUUCCCUUCAUCUCUGCUAGACCCACAAGUCCAUCUCUCUCUCUCUCUCUCAAUUUGGGAAUGUUUCGAAGUGGAACAACAAACCUUGAUGAUUUGGGUUGGUGUUCAAGGGGAGGCAGAUCUGGUGAAGUUGUCGAAGCUCCACCAAAGCUAUCAUUCUCAAAGCGCACUGUUACCGAGUUUUUGAUGGCUGAGGUUGGCAUCUAUGCAAGGGUGUAAAGCAUCUUGGGAUCAUAAUAAUGUGUAAAAUUCAGAGUUUAUUGAGCAUGAUCAUCACCGAAAAGUAGAAAUGCAUUUGACAAAUGGCAUCAAAUAAUUUGAAACAUUGGAUUUCUGAUUCACGUGGUAUCAAAUGGUAUCCUGCUCUUUUGAGAUUUCUGAUUCACAUCGAUUUCUGAUUUGAAACAUUGGAUUUCUGAUUCACAUGGAUUUUUGAGAAGUAGAAAUGCAUUUUACAAAUGGCAUCCUGCUCUUUUGUUUGUUUGAUCCGAUUGGCACUGCCGGGUCACAAGGCAGUGAACUGCAUGCUGUGGCUGCCAAUACCAAGAAGCAUGUACUCCAAGGUCUGCUACCUCCUUUCUACACCUAUGUCCCUCUUAAUUCUCUUUCUGUUGCACCUGAACAUCUGAACUGAAAUGAUUAGCUAGAAUAAUCAUGCUGAAACAAAAUCAUGUCUUGUACGGUUUCUGAUGCUCUAAGCUACAUUUUGAAGCAAGAAUUAGAGUAUCAUCCUGAGACGAUUGUCUUAAUGAAUAAUUGGUGGGACUCAAGAGGAGGUAGCUAUAGAUACAUAGCACCAGUAUACAUCAAGCAAAAGAAGGUUAUAUAUAUAUAUACACAUGUGUUUAAUGGUUUAGUUCAUCUAUGCUUUUAAUUUUAUUAUUUUUACCAAAUAGUGGGGUUAUAGUUAUUCCCGAGGUCCUUGUGGAGAGUAUUCUUAAUUGUAUUUGUUGCUUUAGGUACCCGUUUAUAUGUCUUAUGAGUAUUCACCUACAGGUUGAUAUAUUACAAGAUAUUUAUACAUGUUUCUCAAGUAUUUUCACUAAAACUAUGCAUGCUGUCAUACAGAGACGCUAACAAAUACGACAUCAUGAUUAGUGCGCACAAUUCCGCCUCAAGAGACGCGCCCGGGGCGCGUCCCAGCCCCUAGUGUAUCUCACAAUUGUGGUGUCAAACAUUCUUUUUUGGAUUGUAUGGCAAGGUGGCUUACUCCCAAGUGUUUAUAAAUUCCCAAUAAGUUGAGGGAAGUCUUACAAAACUAACAUAAAAUAAACGGGUGUAUAGAUUUACCAUUCUCUACUUCUUGAAUGAAAAAAAUCAAUAGCUUAGUAUAUGUCCAUCUCAAAAUAGCGCCAAGUGAGACAAUGUCACUGCCUACAAACCCAAAAUAGCAACAGACCAGAAUCAUGUAAACAAUGACUACCAUGUACAAGUACAACCAACACCCAAUUCAUAAAGUGAACUCUCACAUAGUGUUCCAGAACAAGAAUUGCAUGCCUAUAACAGGUCAAGAAAUAAACACACACAUGUUCCAGCCAUAUAUAUCAGUCAACGUCAAUUUUAUGAAUUAAUGAACAUAUAUUUUUUAAAUAAAACGUUCAAAUAGUAGAGGGUGAUACGUCCAUUUUGCAUCAUGCUUUUAUAUCGAUAUUUAUUGCAUUAUGGGUUGUUAUUACACUUUAUGUCACAAUACUUAUGCCUAUUCUCUCUUAUUUUGCAAGGUUUACAUAAAGAGGGAGAAUGCUGGCAGCCUCUGUUGGAAAAGGCAGUGCCUAGAAGGCGCUUAGGCACGCCUAGGCGCUAGGCGAUGGCCAACCGCCUCGCCUAGGGCAUAAAUGGAAGUCUAGGCAGGGCAAGCAAGGAAUUGUUUACCCAAGUGAAGAAUCAUGCCAAAUUGUACUGGUAUACCAAACGGGCCAAAUUCCAAUGGGAGUAGCUGGAAAUUAACUUAUUUAUUUGCAGUAAAUUAAUAUCUACAAACAUAUAAUACUCACAAA